rnacentral:rRNA from 1 species
UAGCGGUGGAAUGCGCAGAUAUCAGGAGGAACACCAAUGGCGAAGGCAGAUCUCUGGGCCGUAACUGACGCUGAGGAGCGAAAGCAUGGGGAGCGAACAGGAUUAGAUACCCUGGUAGUCCAUGCCGUAAACGUUGGGAACUAGAUGUGGGGACCAUUCCACGGUCUCCGUGUCGCAGCUAACGCAUUAAGUUCCCCGCCUGGGGAGUACGGCCGCAAGGCUAAAACUCAAAGGAAUUGACGGGGGCCCGCACAAGCGGCGGAGCAUGCGGAUUAAUUCGAUGCAACGCGAAGAACCUUACCAAGGCUUGACAUAUAGAGGAAACGGCUGGAAACAGUCGCCCCGCAAGGUCUCUAUACAGGUGGUGCAUGGUUGUCGUCAGCUCGUGUCGUGAGAUGUUGGGUUAAGUCCCGCAACGAGCGCAACCCUCGUCCUAUGUUGCCAGCACGUAAUGGUGGGAACUCAUGGGAUACUGCCGGGGUCAACUCGGAGGAAGGUGGGGAUGACGUCAAAUCAUCAUGCCCCUUAUGUCUUGGGCUUCACGCAUGCUACAAUGGCCGGUACAAAGGGCUGCAAUACCGCAAGGUGGAGCGAAUCCCAAAAAGCCGGUCUCAGUUCGGAUUGAGGUCUGCAACUCGACCUCAUGAAGUCGGAGUCGCUAGUAAUCGCAGAUCAGCAACGCUGCGGUGAAUACGUUCCCGGGCCUUGUACACACCGCCCGUCAAGUCAUGAAAGUCGGUAACACCCGAAGCCGGUGGCCUAACCCUCACGGGAAGGAGC